GACGUCCUAUCCCUUGAAGAAAGACUGGCUAUAACCCAAAGUAAAUUGUCUUCUCAAAUAACUGAGAACAAGUUGAACACAUUGAGGUCUGAUCUACAAAACCUAGAAAACACGGUUUCCCACUGGUUGAGAGAAAAAUCAAAUGCAAAAACCGUCGAAUCUCACCUUGACGGAGCUCUUGCGGUAAGCGAC